GGUUGACGCAUAUGACUAUAGUAGCGGUUGUUGCAUGUAUACUUAUCGUUCCUUCUUUACAGUUGUCUUGCUACUAUAGUUUUGUUGCAUGUAUACAUUCAGUUGUUCAUUACAGUAGCGGUAGUUGUACUUUCAUUUAUAUAUAUGUCUCUUUCAUUUAUUAUUAUUGCUACUGUAUUUCUACUGACCCGUACUGUUAUUUAGCUCUUCCUGAUCCGGUGAGUACUCCUCGCCUUCAUCGGCUUGCGGUACCCACUGGGAGGGGAGACAUGUUUACAUGUUCUCACCUCCCCCACCAUUUUUCAGGUAUCGCGGGCGGUGAGAGUUGAGACGAGAUGUGAGACACGUUUCGUAGCGGUCGAUAGAGCUUCCAACCCAGGUUAUUCGGUUUAGUUUCUACCCAUACUAUUAUGUUGAUAUAGCUCAAAUAGUUGAUAUGGUUCAGUUGGUUUAUGUUAUUCGAAUUCAUGUGGUUUUGAAUGAACUAUAGAACUUGUGAAUUUUGUGAAAAGGAAAAAUAGUUUU
rnacentral:lncRNA from 1 species